AUGAAUGUACUUAAAAUCUAGAAGAAUAUACUUUGCAAAAAAAAAAAAAAAACUAGAAGAAUAUCUUGCAUCUCCAUAUAAGUUCUAAAAGAAACCAGAAGAAACAAAAUGACUAAAUUUCUCAAAUUUGUUUAUGUUAUGAUUGUGUUUCUCUCCCUAUUAUCUAUUGUAAGAGCCACAAGCUCCGGAACAUCUGUGUUGUGUAUUGACGAAUAUGAUUGUCAAGAAUUUUGUCCUCCUCAUUUAGACCAUAUUUGUAUUAAUCUUCAAUGUUUCUGUAUGUAAUAAUUAUAAUCUAACUAUUUCUAA